rnacentral:rRNA from 1 species
GACGUAGGUGGCAAGCGUUGUCCGGAGUUAUUGGGCGUAAAGCGCGCGCAGGCGGUUCGGUAAGUCCAUGGUGAAAGCGCCCGGCUCAACUGGGCGAGUGCCGUGGGGACUGCCGAGCUGGAGGGGAGCAGAGGCGAGUGGAAUUCCGGGUGUAGUGGUGAAAUGCGUAGAGGUCCGGAGGAACACCAGUGGCGAAGGCGGCUCGCUGGGCUCUACCUGACGCUGAGGCGCGAAAGCGUGGGGAGCGAACAGGG